rnacentral:lncRNA from 1 species
CAGCUAUAAUUUUGACUUCUUAUAUAUCUGAAUGUUUUCUUUAUUGCUGUUACUACUUCACGUUCCAAUUUAGACUUCACUGCACUGAAACCACAACUUUAGGACAAAAGAAGAAUAUUUAUUAACAACAAAGAAAGGGGAAAGAAUAAGAAAUAGUUUAGCUGCACAUGGAUUGAGAAAUCAAGUACAUUAAAGAAGACAAGAGAGUACAGUGUAAGCACUGUUUCUCAUACGUCUCUGAACAUCUGCGGAAGAUACACAUCUCAGUGCCGCUGAAUACAGAAAUGAGACACAGUCUGUU